GAAUAUUGGACAAUGGGCGAAAGCCUGAUCCAGCAAUGCCGCGUGUGUGAUGAAGGCCCUAGGGUUGUAAAGCACUUUCGCCGAUGACGAUGAUGACGGUCGUCGGAUCAGAAGCCCCGGCUAACUCCGUGCCAGCAGCCGCGGUAAUACGGAGGGGGCGAGCGUUGUUCGGAAUUACUGGGCGUAAAGGGCGCGUAGGCGGUGACGUUAGUCGGGCGUGAAAGCCCCGGGCUCAACCUGGGAUGUGCGUUCGAUACUGCGUUGCUUGAGAGCGGAAGAGGGUAGUGGAAUUCCCAGUGUAGAGGUGAAAUUCGUAGAUAUUGGGAAGAACACCAGUGGCGAAGGCGGCUACCUGGUCCGUUUCUGACGCUGAGGCGCGAAAGCGUGGGGAGCAAACAG
rnacentral:rRNA from 1 species